rnacentral:rRNA from 1 species
AAAUUGAAGAGUUUGAUCAUGGCUCAGAUUGAACGCUGGCGGCAGGCCUAACACAUGCAAGUCGAACGGUAACAGGAAGAAGCUUGCUUCUUUGCUGACGAGUGGCGGACGGGUGAGUAAUGUCUGGGAAACUGCCUGAUGGAGGGGGAUAACUACUGGAAACGGUAGCUAAUACCGCAUAACGUCGCAAGACCAAAGAGGGGGACCUUCGGGCCUCUUGCCAUCGGAUGUGCCCAGAUGGGAUUAGCUUGUUGGUGGGGUAACGGCUCACCAAGGCGACGAUCCCUAGCUGGUCUGAGAGGAUGACCAGCCACACUGGAACUGAGACACGGUCCAGACUCCUACGGGAGGCAGCAGUGGGGAAUAUUGCACAAUGGGCGCAAGCCUGAUGCAGCCAUGCCGCGUGUAUGAAGAAGGCCUUCGGGUUGUAAAGUACUUUCAGCGGGGAGGAAGGGAGUAAAGUUAAUACCUUUGCUCAUUGACGUUACCCGCAGAAGAAGCACCGGCUAACUCCGUGCCAGCAGCCGCGGUAAUACGGAGGGUGCAAGCGUUAAUCGGAAUUACUGGGCGUAAAGCGCACGCAGG